CCCUUAGAUGUUCUGGGCCGCACGCGUGCUACACUGAGUGGAUCAGCGGGUCAGGUUGCGCGAAAGCGUUUCCUAAUCUUGAAAUCCGCUCGUGAUGGGGAUUGACGGUUGCAAUUUUCCGUCAUGAACGAGGAAUACCUUGUAAGCGCGGGUCAUCAUCCCGCGCUGAAUACGUCCCUGCCCUUUGUACACACCGCCCGUCGCUCCUACCGAUUGGGUGGUCCGGUGAGGCUUUGGGAUCUGAGCGGAAAGAGCGUUUCGCUGUUUCUGCUCGGAAAACUCAGUCGAACCUUAUCAUUUAGAGGAAGGAGAAGUCGUAACA
rnacentral:rRNA from 1 species